CUUGGUCGAAUCCCUUUUCUACUCUGUUGCUGCGAAAUUCGGACUGAAUUGGUGGAUUUUGAUCGUAGAGCUUGGAGUUAGCUCGAGUGCUAGACUUGGAGGGUUCCAGUUGAUCCAGCAGGGAUCACUUUGGUGCGAGGCUUCGUUCGCUACCAGGAGCUAGCUUCUUGAGGUGGGUUACAUCAGUUUUGACUCCUAAGUUCUAAUCGUCGACAUGUAUAAUUUUGAUUUUGGUAUACUCUAUUCUAGCUCGAAUUCAUGAAUUAUAUUGUAGAUUGCAAAUUUGAAUUUGGAGCAUGUGGUAAUAAGUUGAGUAGUUUAUACAUGUUGGACUUGGAAUUCGACUUAGGAGAAAACCUACGAUUGGGACCCGUCACUUGUUUAAACUGCCUGAUUUAGCUCUAAGAGUCGUUAUAAAAUUGUACUGUCGCAGUAUCUUUGAGACGAGUACUCCGGGUAGUUUAGAAUACAUUUACGCUCGUGCUGGUACGCCGAGUGGAUUUUUACAGAGUCAUUUCGCUGUUUCGGACUUUUGCGCCGUUGGAGUUGACGGUGGGCCCAGUUCGCCGUUUUGGCGUCAGAUUGUGCCGAGGGCACGUUACUUGUUUGUUGUUAGACCAGUUAGAGUCGGUUACUUAAACUUUGGCUUGACAGAGCCUGAUUAAGCUCAACAGAGAUACGCUGCAUACUCGGUUGGGUAGCGCCCACGAGUGCCACUCCGGAGACGGGCUUUGUGCUUUCGCGUUGGUGUCGCUCAUGCCAGUUGGACUUGCUCUCCACGGACCAGUUAGUGUGGAGGUAGCUGGAUAGUCACAACUGGGCAGGGACGGGUGUAUUCACAGUCCCAAGGACGGGUAGGUUUACAGUCCCGAUUGGAUUGGGUCCGAUUUGACAUUUCCUACAGUUGGUUAGUGUAGAGCAUGAUAGUGUAGUGAUUGAUAGCGGUAGAGUUUACUUCCUGCUUUUCCUACUAUCCUGGCUCCCCUCUGUAGACUUAGUGGGUGGACCGAUAUUGUUUGGGCUGCACCCACUGAGGACUACUUGUUUUUACAGUAGUUCUCACGCCCAGUUGUUACCCCUGUUUUGCAGAGCCACAGGUUCCGGCUGCUGCGCCUUCCGCGGAUCAGGAUCGAGGCAAGGGCGUCGCGAGUUAGAGCCCUACCCGAUGUGCUGAGCUAGAGGUGCCCCUACUGCAGGUAGAUUUUUUUUUUCGAGUUUAUGUACAUAGUAGACUUAACUCGCCAGUGCGAGUAGCUCUGUAUUUUGGAUUUGGACUAUGUAUAUGAAACUCAGUUUGUUUAGCUUAUGAUUCUCUAGCAGCUCUCUACUACUGUUCGUAGUAGUGUUGGAUUUACAGGUACAGCUAUCGCUUCGUUUACAGGAAAAAUUUUCUUUGUAUACGACGGAUUUGUCGGCGUGCUCGGGGAACGAGACAUUCGGGGCGUGACAGAUUAACUUGGUAUCAGAACUUUGCUGUAGGUCGUUGGGACCUAAGAAACCUAAGUUUGGCAAACCUUAGGAAGGCAAGACGUGAGAGGCGUAAUUUAUUGCGAAAGUCAAUGAUUAUUUAUUCUAACUCCUAGAGUGGAGUGAGUGACUGAAGGAGUUCCUGUUUUGGCCUGAGAAAUUAUGUUGGCUGCAGACAACAUAAUUUUGGAGGGAAACAGGGUCCGCCUUCCAGACUUUCGUUGAUUGGGUCAAAAGUGUUUGUGUUUCAACUGACCCCGAUCUGUUCUUUUCAGCUAUGUAUCGUCGCCGAGGCCAACCGUCGUUGCGGGAGCGUGCGCAGUUGGCACAGGAUCCUGCUAGAUCUCCCGAGAUGCCCGAGCAGGCAGAGCCGAGUGCACCACCAAAGGAAAGUGUACCCCCUGUUGUAGAGCAGAGGGCCCGACCGGAGGCGAGUGCAUCCCUGGAUUUGAGUGCACAGUUAGCUGCCCUCACAGAGGUGACGAGGUAGCAGGGGGAGAUGUUGCAAAGGUUGUGUGAGAGGGUGGCUCAGACAUCGAGUACAGUACCGAGAGCACCAGAGCAGGCCAUUCCGCCUCCGACUACUCCAAUGGUCGCACCAGCCGUAGCUGUACCCCCACCAGCAAAGUUUCCGGCCGCGCCAGUUGCGCCAGCUAGGGGACCGGUUUAGUUGACAGAGGCCGAGCAGGAGCGGUGGACAGAGAGGUUGGCCCGUUUCCGCCGUUUUGAUCACCGAUUUUCAAUGGCAGUUGCACUGAGGCCUGGAUUGUCGAGGGAUGGGUCAGUGCGAUGGAGAAGUUAUUUGAGGAUUUGUUUAUUCCAGAGGGGGAGCAGGUGUCUUUGGGAGUCCAUUGCUUGGCAGGUGAUGCCCACGUCUGGUGGAGGAGAGUGAGGAGAGAGCAGGGACUGGUGGCAUUGCAGCUGGGAUGGGAUGAGUUCUGUGGAAUGCUGUUUGGGAUGUUCUUUCCCAAUNAAGUGUACCCCCUGUUGUAGAGCAGAGGGCCCGACCGGAGGCGAGUGCAUCCCUGGAUUUGAGUGCACAGUUAGCUGCCCUCACAGAGGUGACGAGGCAGCAGGGGGAGAUGUUGCAGAGGUUGUGUGAGAGGGUGGCUCAGACAUCGAGUACAGUACCGAAAGCACCAGAGCAGGUCAUUCCGCCUCCGACUACUCCAAUGGCCGCACCAGCCGUAGCUGUACCACCCCCAGCGGAGUUUCCGGCCGCGCCAGUUGCGCCAGCUAGGAGACCGGUUCAGUUGACGGAGAUCGAGCAGGAGCAGUGGAUAGAGAGGUUGGCCCGUUUCCGCCGUUUCGAUCCGCCGAUCUUUGAUGGCAGUUGUACUGAGGCUUGAGUUGUUGAGGGCUGGGUCAGUGCGAUGGAGAAGCUAUUCGAGGAUCUUUUCAUCUCUGAGGGGGAGCAGGUGUUUUUGGGAGUCUAUUGUUUGGCAGGUGACGCCCACGCCUGGUGGAGGAGAGUGCGGAGAGAGUAGGGACUGGUAGCAUUACAGCUGAGUUUGGAUGAGUUCUGUGGAAUGCUGUUUGGGAUGUUCUUUCCCAACAGUGUGAAGCAGAAGCUCGAGGAGGAUUUGAGGAGGCUUCAGCAGGGGGAUCGGCCAGUGCAGGAGUACGUUCGAGAGUUUACUCGACUCCUGAACUGCAUGCCAUUUGUGGCCAGAGAUGAGGCCCGCAGGGUUUACAUGUUCGAGCAGGGGCUGAGACCGGAUAUUUUUAGGUUGACUCGGACGCAGAGGUCGAGGACUCUGGAUGCGUCUAUAGAGCAGGCCUUGUAGGUGGUGCGAGGUGAGGCAUCGCUGCAGGAGAGGACUCAGGCCGUAGGGCAGAGUCAGGACAGGAAGCGCCCCUUUCCAGAUGACGGUGGACAGUCGAGCAGCAGACGUCCGCCGAGGCCUCCACAAUCACGUUCUCAGGGUCGUGGGUUUUCGAGACGUCAGCGUUCCAGGGGAUCCCGUCAGCAGGGUCAGACUUAGAGGGCACUGCUGUGUGUGAUCUGCGGGGGACCACACUGGCCCCGGCAGUGCGAGCAGAGAGAGUGCAGGUGCUACGGAUGUGGUCAGCCGGGACACAUGAGGGCAGCUUGUCCCCCAAUAGCGUCUCCAGCACCAUCAACUUCAGCACCACCAGCACCGCAGCAGUCUUACGGAGCAGCACCGAGCUACCGCCAUGAGGACAGAUCGUCUGUGCCGCGGUCGAGUGAGCGGCGACAGCAGGCUCCGAGUGGCAGGGUUUAUACAGCCCGGGUGAAGGACUCUACAGCAGCCGACCGAGUGGUGGCAGGUAUCACUUUGAUUUCUGGCAUUAGAGUUCGCACUCUUUUUGAUACCGGUGCCUCGCAUUCCUUUGUUAGCCGAGCAUUUGCACAGUUACAUGGUCUAGAGUUAGGAGCGUUGUCUCAAGCACGAGAGGUGCAGAUCCCAGACUAUGUUUUGCAGGUUGUGGAGUGUUGUUGGUCAUGCCCGGUGCAGCUAGACUCGUGGAUUAUGCCCGCAGAUUUGUUGGUGUUAGGGCAGCUGCAGGAUUUCGACGUCGUGCUCGGUAUGGAUUGGCUGGCGCGGUACUAUGCUACGAUCGACUGUGGAGCGAGGAUGGUGACGUUCCGCGAGCCAGGCCAUGAGGAGUUUACUUUUAGACGCUGCAGGAGCACGCUGUUUGCCACCUGGAUAUCUUCGGCGAGGGCUCGACAGAUGCUGAAUAGCGGGUGUAUCGCUUUCCUAGCGACAGUUGUGGAGGUACCUACGGCGGCGCCGGGACUCGAGGAUAUCCCAGUAGUCCGCGAGUUUCCGGAUGUAUUUCCCCCUAAGUUGACGUCGUUGCCGCCGGAGAGGGAGAUUGAGUUUGUGAUUGAUGUAGUUCCUAGAACUGCACCAAUCUCGAAGGUACCUUAUCGGAUGGCGCCGGCAGAGCUGAGAGAGCUAAAGGCACAGCUUCAGGAUUUGAUAGAUAGAGGGUUUGUGAGACCCAGUGUUUCGCCUUGGGGAGCGCCAGUGUUGUUUGUGAAGAAAAAGGAUGGUUCACUUAGGCUGUGUAUGGAUUACCGGGAGCUGAAUAAAGUGACCAUCAAGAAUAAGUAUCCCUUGCCUCGUAUUGAUGAUUUGUUUGAUCAGCUGCAGGGAUCUUAUGUCUUCUCGAAGGUUGAUCUCCAGUCAGGUUACCACCAGCUGAGAGUAAGGGCCGAGAAUGUUCCCAAGACAGCUUUUCGGACUCGGUACGGGCAUUAUGAGUUCACGGUGAUGCCUUUUGGAUUGACGAAUGCCCCUACCGCAUUCAUGGAUUUGAUGAACAGAGUGUUCAAGCCGUUCUUAGAUAGAUUUGUGGUAGUCUUCAUCGACGAUAUCCUGAUUUACUCCCGGAGUGAUGCUGAGCAUGAGCACUUGAGGAUUGUGCUACAACUUCUGCGAGAGAAGAAAUUGUAUGCCAAGUUAAAGAAGUGCAAGUUCUGGCUACGGGAGGUUGCUUUCUUGGGCCACGUGAUUUCAGCUAAGGGCGUAGCAAUGGACCCGAAGAAGAUUGAGGCGAUUCGAGAUUGGCCUAGACCGACGACGGUGACUGAGGUACGGAGUUUCCUGAGACUGGCAGGAUAUUACCGUCGGUUUGUGGAAGGCUUUGCGAAGCUUUCCACACCCCUCACACGCUUGACGCGGAAGGGGAUUCGUUUUGUCUGGAGCGACGACUGUCAGAGGAGUUUUGACGAGUUGAGACUGAGGUUGACGUCGGCUCCUAUCCUUGCCCUUCCGGUGAUGGGGGAUGGAUUUGUGAUCUACAGUGAUGCAUCGCACAGUGGACUUGAUUGCGUGCUGAUGCAGUAUGAUAGGGUGAUUGCUUAUGCUUCACGGCAGUUAAAGAAUUAUGAGAAGAAUUACCCUACGCAUGACUUGGAGCUUGCCGCAGUGGUUUUUGCUUUGAAGCUCUGGCGGCAUUACUUGUACGGCGAGCACUGCGAGGUCUUCACCGAUCAUAAAAGUCUCAAGUAUCUGUUCACACAGAGGGAGCUGAACCUGAGGCAGCGCCGGUGGUUAGAGUUACUGAAGGACUAUGACAUUAGUAUUCAGUAUCAUCCCAGCAGGGCGAAUGUUGUGGCAGAUGCGUUGAGCAGGAAGUCAGUGCAGAGCCUGAGUUUGAGGAUCACUGAGCAGAGACCCCUACUCAAGGAGCUACAGCGGCUGGGACUCGAGAUAGUACCCCCUGAGUCUACGGCGAGGCUGACGUCUCUAGUUUUGCAGCCCACUCUGUUGGAUAGGAUCCGAGAGAAACAGAGUGGAGAUCCGUACUUGUUGAGGAUUAGAGCAGCUAGACAGGGGGCAGGCUGAGAGUUUUGCUUUGGACAGUUCGGGAGUACUACGGUACAGGGACCGACUGUGUGUGCCUGUGGAUUCUGAAAUCCGAGCAGACAUUCUGAGAGAGGCUAAUUGUUCUCCUUAUACGGUUCACCCAGGUGGGACCAAGAUGUAUAAGGACUUAAAGGCACAGUUUUGGUGGAAUGGAAUGAAGAGAGACAUUGGCAGAUAUGUGGCUCAGUGUUUGACUUGCCAACAGGUGAAGGCCGAGCAUCAGAUGCCUGCUGGGAAGCUUCAGAAUCUGCCAUUGCCCGAGUAGAAGUGGGAGUACAUCACGAUGGACUUCGUCGUUGGAUUGCCUAGAGCGCAGGGUGGCUACGACGCGAUUUGGGUGAUAAUGGACAGACUGACCAAGUCUGCUCACUUCCUACCAGUUCAGACUACCUGGUCCAGAGAGAGACUCGCGCAGCUAUACUUGGAUGAGAUUGUUAGGCUGCACGGCGUGCCAGUGUCGAUUGUAUCAGACAGAGACCCGAGGUUUGUAUCCCAGUUUUGGAGGAGCCUUCAGACCACCGCCUUGGACACUCAGCUGCAUUUUAGCACGGCGUUCCACCCACAGACAGAUGGUCAGUCAGAGCGGACCAUACAGACUCUAGAGGACAUACUGAGGGCAUGCGUCCUGGAUUUUGGAGGAGGGUGGUAUCGACAUGUGAGACUAGUUGAGUUUACGUACAACAACAGCUAUCAAGCGAGCAUUCGGAUGGCUCCGUUUUAAGCGUUGUAUGGACGCAGAUGUCGAUCCCCUCUGUUUUGGAGUGAUGUGGGUGAGAGGAUGACACUUGGACCGGAGAUCUUACUUGAGGCUGAGGAAAAGAUGAGAGUCGUUCGACAACACCUUUUGACAGCACAGAGCCGACAGAGGAGCUACGCCGAUAUCAGAAGACGAGACUUGGAGUUUCAGGUUGGAGAUCAUGUUUUCCUCAAAGUCUUGUCGUCCAAAGGAAUACGCCGAUUUGGAGUACGUGGAAAGCUUAGUCCACUGUUUGUUGGCCCUUUCGAGGUAUUGGAGCGUCUCGAACCGGUUGCAUACAGGAUAGCUCUACCCCCGCGACUUACUGGCAUCCACGAUGUUUUCCACGUCUCAGCAUUGAGGAGAUACGUUUUCGAUCCCUCUCAUGUGAUUGACUUCACUCCACUUGAGAUUGGCGAGGAUCUGAGAUACGAGGAGCGACCGUUGCGGAUUCUUGCUCGAGAGACAAAAGAAUUGUGCAAUCGGAUCAUCCCGUAUGUGAAAGUGCAGUGGAGUAAUCAUGAUGAGCGGGAGGCGACUUGGGAGUCUGAGACGGUGAUGAAGGAGGCCAAUCGCUAUUUGUUUGAUGCCUGAGCAGAGGUAUGUUUCAGUUUCGAUGACGAAAUUUUUUGUAGAGGGGGAGGAUGUGAGAUCCCUGGUGUACGGCUGUGGAGGCUUGCCGACAGCUCUGGAGAGUGUCGAGACAAGUUUGAGUCGCGUUGGCGUAAAAUGCAUGCAAAACGAACCCCCCGCGACGCGAACGUAGCACUUGGCGAGAAAAUCCGCAAAAUUGCAGGUUUUCUGCUUGCUGUACCGGUACAGCCAUCAAGGUGUACCGGUACACUUCAGCUAGCUACACGCGGGCUGCUCUCGGGUUAGCCUCUAUACCGGUACACCGACCCCUCGUACCGGUACACCAGGGUAGGUAAGGGGUGGUUUGGUCUUUUUCCCACUUCGUUCAUAUCACCCUUUCUCUCUCUCUAGCUAGGUUCUUGCGCACGGUGGAGCUCGGGUGGAGUUCGGAUUUCGUCGCCGACGUCGCGCCGCGGAGUCGUUCGAGCACGUGUUUGACGCCGGGGUAGCGCGAGGAGGCUGGGCGAGCGUAGGUUUUCGCCGUUCUUGCUGUCGCACCGGUGCUUGGUGUUGUCGAGGUGGGUAAUUCAGCAUUUUCUUUGUUUUUGGGCAAGUUCUUACUACUUCAACUCGGAAUGAUGUUGUUGCUGAAAUUCAUCGCCGACUGUUAGUAUUUCAGCUCGUACUCGACGUAGGAGCAUCGGAUUUCGACGAGGCUUGGUUCGUUGGAUUCGGGACUUCGAGAAGAAUCCACGAAGCCCUUACUUGCCGGAUUUGGUGAAGGUUAGCUUGGUCGAAUCCCUUUUCUACUCUGUUGCUGCGAAAUUCGGACCGAAUAGGUGGAUUUUGAUCGUAGAGCUUGGAGUUAGCUCGAGUGCUAGACUUGGAGGGUUCCAGUUGAUCCAGCAGGGAUCACUUUGGUGCGAGGCUUCGUUCGUUGCCAGGAGCUAGCUUCUUGAGGUGAGUUACAUCGGUUUUGACUCCUAAGUUCUAAUCAUCGACAUGUAUAAUUUCGAUUUUGGUAUAGUCUAUUCUAGCUCGAAUUCAUGGAUUAUAUUGUAGAUUGCAAAUCUGAAUUUGGAGCAUGCGGUAAUAAGUUGAGUAGUUUAUACAUGUUGGACUUGGAAUUCGACUUAGGAGAAAACCUGCGAUUGGGACCUGUCACUUGUUUAAACUGCCUGAUUUAGCUCUAGGAGCCGUUAUAAAAUUGUACUGUCGCAGUAUCUUUGAGACGAGUACUCCGGGUAGUUUAGAAUAUAUUUACGCUCGUGCUGGUACGCCGAGUGGAUUUUUACAGAGUCAUUUGGCUGUUUCGGACUUUUGCGCCGUUGGAGUUGACGGUGGGCCCGGUUCGCCGUUUUGGCGUCAGAUUGUGCCGAGGGCACGUUACUUGUUUGUUGUUAGACCAGUUAGAGUCGGUUACUUAAACUUUGGCUUGACAGAGCCUGAUUGAGCUCGACAGAGAUACGCUGCAUACUCGGUUGGGUAGCGCCCACGAAUGCCACUCCGGAGACGGGCUUUGUACUUUCGCGUUGGUGUCGCUCAUGCCGGUUGGACUUACUCUCCAUGGACCAGUUAGUGUAGAGGUAGCUGGAUAGUCGCAACUGGGCAGGGACGGGUGUAUUCACAGUCCCAGGGACGGGUAGGUUUACAGUCCCGAUUGGAUUGGGUCAGAUUUGACAUUUCCUACAGUUGGUUAGUAUAGAGCAUGAUAGUUUGAUUGAUAGCGGUAGAAUUUACUUCCUGCUUUUCCUACUAUCCUGACUUCUCUCUGUAGACUUAGUGGAUGGAUCGAUGUUGUUUGGGCGGCACCCACUGAGGACUACUUGUUUUUACAGUUGUUCUCACGCCCAGUUGUUACCCCUGUUUUGCAGAGCCACAGGUUCCGGCUGCUGCGCCUUCCGCGGAUCAGGAUCGAUGCAAGGGCGUCGCGAGUUAGAGCCCUACCCGACGUGCUGAGCUAGAGGUGCCCCUACUGCAGGUAGAUGUUUUUUUUUCGAGUUUAUGUACAUAGUAGACUUAACUCGCCAGUGCGAGUAGCUCUGUA
rnacentral:lncRNA from 1 species